rnacentral:rRNA from 1 species
AUUGAACGCUGGCGGCAGGCCUAACACAUGCAAGUCGAACGGUAACAGGAAGAAACUUGCUUCUUUGCUGACGAGUGGCGGACGGGUGAGUAAUGUCUGGGAAACUGCCUGAUGGAGGGGGAUAACUACUGGAAACGGUAGCUAAUACCGCAUAACGUCGCAAGACCAAAGAGGGGGACCUUCGGGCCUCUUGCCAUCGGAUGUGCCCAGAUGGGAUUAGCUUGUUGGUGGGGUAACGGCUCACCAAGGCGACGAUCCCUAGCUGGUCUGAGAGGAUGACCAGCCACACUGGAACUGAGACACGGUCCAGACUCCUACGGGAGGCAGCAGUGGGGAAUAUUGCACAAUGGGCGCAAGCCUGAUGCAGCCAUGCCGCGUGUAUGAAGAAGGCCUUCGGGUUGUAAAGUACUUUCAGCGGGGAGGAAGGGAGUAAAGUUAAUACCUUUGCUCAUUGACGUUACCCGCAGAAGAAGCACCGGCUAACUCCGUG